rnacentral:lncRNA from 1 species
UCAUGGCACCGGCACUAGUUUGAAAACUGUUGAUAGGAAGAGGUGGGAACCAAAGCAGAGGAGAGACUGCUCUUACACCAAGGCUCUAAAAUGUAGACCUGUCUGACCCAGUUUGAAACUAGCAUGGGCUCCUUCAGUUUGGAGCUGGAAACUCAGACGUCUCCUGUUAUGUGUUUGCAUGAUGUAUGCACUCUGGACAUUGCUGUACUUUAAAUAAGAAUAAUAACAGGAUGGAAAGGAGGAAAGCAUGGACAUAAAAUCAGAGGUGAGAAAGAAAAGCAAUACUUUGGGUGCAUGCUGGGA